UACGGAAGGCAGCAGUGGGGAAUCUUGCGCAAUGGGCGAAAGCCUGACGCAGCCAUGCCGCGUGAAUGAUGAAGGUCUUAGGAUUGUAAAAUUCUUUCACCGGGGACGAUAAUGACGGUACCCGGAGAAGAAGCCCCGGCUAACUUCGUGCCAGCAGCCGCGGUAAUACGAAGGGGCUAGCGUUGCUCGGAAUUACUGGGCGUAAAGGGCGCGUAGGCGGAUCGUUAAGUCAGAGGUGAAAUCCCCGGGCUUAACCUGGGAAUGGCAUUCAAGACUGGUUAGCUAGAGUCUUGUAGAGGGGGUAGAAUUCCAUGUGUAGCGGUGAAAUGCGUAGAGAUGUGGAGGAAUACCGGUGGCGAAGGCGGCCCCUGGACAAAGACUGACGCUCAUGUGCGAAAGCGUGGGGAGCAAACAGGGAUUAGAUACC
rnacentral:rRNA from 1 species